rnacentral:miRNA from 8 species
AGAUGGAGAUGUUUUGCAAUUGU